rnacentral:rRNA from 1 species
CCUACGGGAGGCAGCAGUGGGGAAUAGUGGGCAAUGGGCGAAAGCCUGACCCAGCAACGCCGCGUGAAGGAAGAAGGCUUUCGGGUUGUAAACUUCGUUUGACAGGGAAGAGCAGAAGACGGUACGUGUCGAAUAAGCCAGGGCUAACUACGUGCGAGCAGCCGCGGUAAUACGUAGGUGGCAAGCGUUGUCCGGCUUUACUGGGUGUAAAGGGCGGGUAGCCGGGCGUACAAGUCAGAUGUGAAAUCCGGGGGCUCAACCCCCGAACUGCCUUUGAAACUGUUGGUCUUGAGUAUCGGAGAGGCAGGCGGAAUUCCUAGUGUAGCGGUGACAUGCCUAGAUAUUAGGAGGAACACCAGUGGCGAAGGCGGCCUGCUGGACGACAACUGACGGUGAGGCGCGAACGCGUGGGGAGCAAACAGGAUUAGAUACCCCGGUAGUC